rnacentral:lncRNA from 1 species
UGGUAGUGAAAUUCCAUGCAAUGCCGGUAAUGAUGUUGCACACUUUUCAGACACCGAGGAAAAUCCUGAAGAAUCGGCAUUUCAAGAAAAAACUGAAGAAUCAGUCAUUGAACAGCAACCUGAUGUACCAGCAGUUAAGGAGAAACCUGAAGAACCAACACUUGAGGAGAAAACUGAAGUACUAGUUGAGGAGAAACCUCAAGAACCGGCGUCUAAAGAGAGACCUGAAGAAGCGGCAGCUAAAGAAACAGCUGAAGAGCUAGCAAAGGAGGAAGCACCUGAAGAACUAGCACUUGAAGAGAAACCUGAAGAAUCAACAGUUGAAGAGACACCUGAAGAACUAGUUCUGGAAGAGAAAGAUGAAAAAACAGCUAUUAAAGAGAAGGAGCUUGUUAGAAAAGCUCUUCAGGAGAAGGUGAGGAUUGAAUACUGUCACAAAGUUAAUCCACCAUAUAAGCUUUAUAUGUGCAACAAAUUAAUAUAUGUUUAUCUAUUUAAAGACAAAAUGGAACUUUAAAUUUUCUUGCAGAAAUUGUCGAUUGUAAACGCAGAGGAUAAUAUAGACAAUGCAAUUCCAUGCAAUACCAACAAUGACAUUGCUGACUAUGCAUUAGUUGAGGAAAAAAUUGAAGAACCAGUAGUUGAAGAGAAAUCUGAAGAAUCAAGGAUUUUGGAGAAAUCAGAAGAACCUGCGGUUGAGAAAAUUCCUGAACAGCCGACAAUUGAAGAGAAACCUGAAACCCAACAGUUGGAGGAGAAAAGCUUGAAGAACCAUUGGUUGGAGAGACGACCGAAGAACCGACAAUUGAGGAGAAACCUGAAAAAACAGCAACUGAAGAAACACCUAAGGAACCAUCAUUUGAAGAGAAACAUGACGAACCAACCGUUGAAGAGGAGAAACCUGAAAAGGUAACUCUUUUGGAAAAGGUAAGGGUCAAGUACAAUAACAAAGUUAGUACAUUUUGUUAGUGAUGCAUGAACUGUAAUUCACAUGCUCUUUUUUUGAAAGGCUAAGUGAAACAUUAAAUACUAUUUGCAGGAUAUGCUAAUUGUAGACUCGAAGACCAAAACUUGCAGUGAAAUUCCAUCCAACACCAAUAAUGAUGUUGCUCACUCUCCAGACAUCGAGAAAAACCCUGAAAAAUUGGCAGUUGAAAUAAAAAAUGAAGAACCAGUCAUUGAAGAGAAACCUGAUGUACCAGCAGUUGAGGAGAAACCUGAAGAAUCAAAAUUUGAGGAGAAAUCUGAAGUACCAGCUGAGGAGAAACCUCAAGAACCGGCGGCUGAAGAGAAACCUGAAAAAACAGUAGCUAUAGGAACAGCUGAAGAACUAGCACUUGAAGGGAAACCUGAAGAACUAACGGUUGAAGAUACAUCUGAAGAGCUACUUGUCGAAGAGAAAGAUGAAAAACCAGCAAUUAAAGAGGAGGAACCUGAAACGGAAGCUCUUCAGGAGAAGGUGACAAUUAACACUGUCACAAAGUUUAUUCAGCAUAUUAACAUUAUAAGUGCAACGAAUGUACAUAUGUUUUAUCUAUUAAAAGACUAAAUGGAACUUCAAAUUUUCUUGCAGAAUUUGCCAAUUGUAAACUCAAAGAACACAACAGACAAUGCAUAUCCAUACAAUACCAACAAUGACAUUGCUGACUAUGCAUCAGUUGAGGAAAAACUGAAGAGGCAGAAGUUGAAGAGAUAUCUGAAGAAUCAUCUAUUGAAGAGAAAUCUGAAGAAUCAAGGGUUUUGGAGAAACCAGAAGAACCAUCGGUUGAGAAAAUACCUGAAAAACCGACAAUCGAAGAGAAACCUGAAACAUCAACCGUGGGAGAAAAGUUUGAAGAACCAUCAGUUGAGGAGACGAUCAAAGAACCAAAAAUUGAGGAGAAACCUGAAAAACAAGUAACUGAAGAAACACCCAAGGAACUAGCGUUAGAAGAGAUACAUAAAGAACCAGCAAUGAAAGAGGAGAAACCUGAAAAGGUAACUCUUUUGGAAAAGGUAAGGGUCAAGUACUAUCACAAAGUUAAUCCAUUUUGUUAGUUAUGCAUGUACAGUGAUUCACAUGCUCUUCUUUUGAAAGGCUAAGUGAAACAAUAAAUUCUUUUUGCAGAAUAUGCUAAUUGUGGACUCAAACACCAAAACUGGCAGUGAAAUUCCAUGCAAUACCAAUAAUGAUGAUGCUCACUCCCCAGACAUUGAGGAAAAUCCUGAAGAAUCGGCAGUUGAAAUAAAAAAUGAAGAACUAGUCAUUGAAGAGAAACCUGAUGUACCAGCAGUUGAGGAGAAACCUCAAGAACCAACAUUUGAGGAGAAAUCUGAAGUACCAGCUGAGGAGAAACCUCAAGAACCUGCGACUGAAGAAAAACCUCAGGAACCGGCAGCUAUAGAAACACCUGAACUAGCACUUGAAGAGAAACCUGAAGAACCAACGGUUGAAGAUACAUCUGAAGAGCUAGUUGUUGAAGAGAAAGAUGAAAAGCCAGCAAUUGAAGAGGAGGAACCUGAAAUGGAAGCUCUUAAGGAGAAGGUGGGAAUUAACACUCACAAAGUUUAUUCAGCAUACUAGCUUUAUAUGCGCACGAAUUUACAUAUGUUUAUCUAUUGAAAGACUAAAUGAAACUUCAAAUAUUCUUGCAGAAUUUUCCAAUUGUAAACUCAAAGAACACAAUAGACAAUGCAAUUCCAUGCAAUACAAACAAUGACAUUGCUGACUUCACAUCAGUUGAGGAAAAAACUGAAGAACCAAUAGUUGAAGAGAUAUCUGAAGAAUCGGCAAUUGAAGAAAAAUCUGAAGAAUCAAGGGUUUCGGGGAAACCAGAAGAACCAGCGGUUGAGAAAAUACCUGAACAACCGACAGUUGAAAAGAAACCUGAAAAACCAACCGUGGGAGAAGAGUUUGAAUUACCAUCAGUUGAGGAGACAAUCGAAGAACCAAAAAUCGAGGAGAAACCUGAAAAACAAGUAAUUGAAGAAACACCCAAGGAACUAGCAGUUGAAGAGAUGCAUGAAGAAACAGCCGUGGAAGAGGAGAAACCUGAAAAGGUAACUCUUUCGGAAAAGGUAAGGGUCAAGCACUAUCACAAAGUUAAUCCAUUUUGUUAGUUAGUAUGUACUAUGACUCACAUCUGCGUCUUUAUUGAAAGACUAAGUGAAACAAUAAAUUCUUUUUGCAGAAUAUGCUAAUUGUAGACUCAACUGAAAAAACCGGCAGUGAAAUCCCAUGCAAUACCAAUAAUGAUGUUGAAUACUCUCCAGACAGUGAGGAAAAUCCUGAAGAAUCGGCAGUUGAAGAAAAAACUGAAGAACCACUCAUUGAAGAGAAACCUGAUGUACCAGCUAUUAAGGAGAAACCCAAAGAACCAACAUUUGAGGAGAAAUCUGAAGUACCAGUUGAGGAGAAACCUGAAGAACUAGAGAUGACAGAGAAACCUGAAGAACCAGCGGCUAUAGAAACACCUGAAGAGCUUGCAGGGCAGGAAAUACCUGAAGAACUAGACCUUGAAGAGAAACCUGAAGAACCAACAGUUGAAGACACAUCUGAAGAACUAGUUGUUGAAAAGAAAGAUGAGAAACCAGCAAUUGAAGAAGAAGAACCUGAAACGGAAGCUCUUCAGGAGAAGGUGACAAUUAAACACUGUCACAAAUUAUCCAUCAUAUUAGCUUUAUAUGUGCAAUGAAUUUACAUAUGUUUAACUGUUGAAAGACUAAAUAAAACUUAAAUUUUUCUUGCAUAAUUUGUCAAUUGUAAACUCAAAGGACAAGACAGACGAUGCAAUUCCAUGCAAUACCAACAACGACAUUGCUGACUAUGCAUCAGCUGAGGAAAAAAUUGAAGAGCCAGUAGUUGAAAAUAAACAUGAAGAACAAGCAAUUGAAGAGAAAUCAGAAGAAACAGCAAUUCCGGAGAAGCCAGAAGAACCAGUGAAUGAGAAAAAACCUGACUCUCUGGCAAUUGAAGAGAAACCUAAAGAAACAACAGCGGAAAAGAAGCUUAAAGAACCAUUGGUUGAGGAGAUUGAGGAGAAACCUGCAAAACCAAUAACUGAAGAAGCACCUGAAGAACCAAAAUGGGAAGAAACACCUGACGGUCUAUUAUUUGAAGAGAGACCAGCACUUGAAGAGGAGACAUCCAAAAAGGUAGCUCUUUUGGAAAAGGUGAGGGUCAAGCACUGUCACAAAGUUUAUACAUCUUAUUAGUUAUGUAUGUACAAUGAUGCACAUCUGCUUCUUCAUUGAUAGACUAAGUGAAACAUUAAAUUCUUUCGUAGAAUUUGUUAGUUGUAGACUCAAACGACAAAACUGGCAGUGGAACUCCAUGCAAUACCAAUAAUGAUGUUGCUCACCCUCCACAAGUUGAGGAAAAUACUGAAGACUCAGUAGUUGAAGAAAAAACUGAAGAACCAGCUAUUGAAGAGAAACUUGAUGUACCAGUGGUUAAGGAGAAACCUGAAGAACCAGUGGUUGAGGAGGAACCUCAAGAACCAGCGGCUAAAGAAGCACCUGAAGAGCUAGAAGGGGAGGAAAUACCUGAAGAAUUAGCACUUGAAGAGAAAACUGAAGAACCAACGGUUGAAAAGACACCUAAAGAAAUAAUUGUUGAAGAGGAGAAACCUGAAACAGAAGCUCUUCUAGAGAAGGUUAGGAUUAAGCAUUGUCACAAAGUCUAUUCAUCAAAUUAGCUGUAUACGUGCAACGAAUUUACAACGAAUUUACAUAUGUUUAUCUAUUUAAAUACUAAGUAGGACUCUAAAUUUCUUGCAGAAUUUGCCAAUGGAAGACCCAAAGGACAAGAUAGAUAAUGCAAUUCCUUGCAAUACCAACAAUGAUAUUGCUGACUAUGAAUCCGUCGAGGAAAAACCUCAAGAACUAGUAGUUGAAAAAGAACAUGAUGAAACAAUGAUUGAAGAAGAAUCUGAAGUAUUGGCUGUUAUGGAGAAGCCUGAAGAACCAGCGGUUGAGAAAAACCUUGAAGAACUGGCAGUUGAAGAAGAAUGUGAAAAACCAACUGUGGAGGUGAAAUUUGAAGAACCAUCGGCUGAGGAGAACUACAAGAACCAAUGGUUGAAGUGAAACCUGAAAAGACAAUAACUGAAGAGACACCCAAAGAAUCAGCACGGGAAGAAAACACCUAAUGAACUAGCAUGUGAAGAAAAAGCUGAAGAACCAGCAGUUGAAGAGGUGAAACCUGAAGAACCAACAGGUGAAGAAGAAAAACCUGAAAAGGUAACUCUUUUGGAUAUGGCAAGGAUCAAGCACUGUCAUAAAGUUCAUCUGUCCUAUUAGUUGUGUAUGUACAACAAUUUACAUCUGCUCAUCUAUAAAAGACUAAGUGAAACUUCCAAUUCUUAUUACAGAAUUUGCUAGUUGCAGACUCGAAGGAAAAAACUGACAGUAAAAUUCCCUGCAAUUCUAGCAAUGAUGCUGCUCAGUUUUUAGAAGAUGAUAAAAACCCUGAAAAACCAGCCGCCGUGAAAAAACUGGUUAUUGAAGAGAAACUUGAUAUACCAGCAAUUAUGGAGAACCUGAAGAACCAACAAUUGAGGAGAAAUCUGAAGAACCAGUUGAGGAGAAACCUAAAGAACCAACUGUUGAAGAGAAACUUGAAGAACCAACAACUAAAGAAACACAUGAAGAGCUAGCAGGGGAGGAAGCACCUGAAGAACUACCACUUGAACAGAAACCUGAAGAACCAAUAGUUGGAGAGACCUCUGAAGAGAUAGCUUUCGAAGAGAAACAUGACAAACCAGCAAUUGAAGAGGAGAAACCAGAAAUGGAAACUUUCCUAGAGAAGGUGGGGAUAAAACAGUGUCACAAAGUUUAUCCAUUCUAAUAGCUUUACAUUGCAACGAACUCACUUAUGCCAAUCUAUUAGAAGAUUAAAUCAAAUUUGAACUUCUCUUGCAGAAUAUGCCAAUUAUCGACUCAAAGGACAAGAAUGACAGUGAAAUUCUAGGCAAUUCAAACAACGAUGUUGCUUACUAUCCAACAGUUGAAGAUAAAGCUGAAGUACAGGUAGUCAAAGAAAAACAUGAAAAACAAGUGAUUGAAGAGAAAUGUGAAGAACCAGCGGUUGAUGAAAAAACUGAUGAACCAGCAGUGACAGAGAAACCUGAAGAACCACCGGCUGUGGAAAAAGAAACUGAAGAACAAGUCCUCGAGGAGAAACUUGAAGAACCAACA